UUGCACGCUGGCGGCAGGCCUAACACCUGCAAGUCGCGCGGAUGAAGGGAGCUUGCUCCUGGAUUCAGCGGCGGACGGGUGAGUAAUGCCUAGGAAUCUGCCUGGUAGUGGGGGAUAACGUCCGGAAACGGGCGCUAAUACCGCAUACGUCCUGAGGGAGAAAGUGGGGGAUCUUCGGACCUCACGCUAUCAGAUGAGCCUAGGUCGGAUUAGCUAGUUGGUGGGGUAAAGGCCUACCAAGGCGACGAUCCGUAACUGGUCUGAGAGGAUGAUCAGUCACACUGGAACUGAGACACGGUCCAGACUCCUACGGGAGGCAGCAGUGGGGAAUAUUGGACAAUGGGCGAAAGCCUGAUCCAGCCAUGCCGCGUGCGUGAAGAAGGUCUUCGGAUUGUAAAGCACUUUAAGUUGGGAGGAAGGGCAGUAAGUUAAUACCUUGCUGUUUUGACGUUACCAACAGAAUAAGCACCGGCUAACUUCGUG
rnacentral:rRNA from 1 species